rnacentral:rRNA from 1 species
UACGUAGGGUGCUAGCGUUGUCCGGAUUUAUUGGGCGUAAAGAGCUCGUAGGCGGCUUGUCGCGUCGAAUGUGAAAACUCGGGGCUCAACUCCGAGCUUGCAUUCGAUACGGGCAGGCUAGAGUUCGGUGGGGGAGACUGGAAUUCCUGGUGUAGCGGUGAAAUGCGCAGAUAUCAGGAGGAACACCGGUGGCGAAGGCGGGUCUCUGGGCCGAUACUGACGCUGAGGAGCGAAAGCGUGGGGAGCGAACAGG